UUUGACUUUCCAUGUGACCCUUCCUCUUUGUAGUCUUCAAAAGCAAGCCCGUACAAAGCCCGGCUCCUUCCUUCCUUCUAACUCCCUAUCAGGAAGCUCCUUCGCCCCUCAAAUCCCUUCAGGGGCUUUGAAAUCCUGGGCUCCCGAGCCCAAGCUGGGCAUGAAUAUUCAUCGGGGGCGUGGCCCCGCCAGCGCGCAGGGCUCCAAGCAGCUGCGACUAGCGGAAAGCGCGCGCCAGCUGCACGCAGGGAAACAGUUCUCAUUUUGUGUGCUCGGCUGACUGCACGUCCAGCCUCGGGCCAGCUCGAGACGGCCACAUUGUGAGUCUGUGGGAGGGGUUCUACCGAGACGAAUGGACUUUUCUGAGGCAGGGCGCCUGGUUGAAGAUGGCUGAGCGUAAAACAGAAUGCAAGUCAGCUGGAGCACGUACUACUGGAGGCAGAGCCCCAUGAGAAGGGGCCAAGAACCCGCACCCAUCAAAAUCAAGAAGAAAGGCUGAACCCGGAGAGAAAAGGGAGGUGAGCC
rnacentral:lncRNA from 1 species